rnacentral:lncRNA from 1 species
UUAAUAAAGAAGCCCCAAGAAAGGCUCCAGCCGGCCCCACCUGGGCGCGUUCGAAGCCAAAUUUUGGCAAAGCCGCGGGCGGCGCUCCCCGCUCGCCGCCGCCAGGUGGCGCUGCCGCCAAGGGAACCCGCGACCCCGGGAGGCUCCGGACACACCGGGAUCAUCCAACAACACUGGGAUCUUCUGGAUCCCACCGGGAUUGUCCGGACACACCGGGAGCCUCCGGACACACCGGGAUCGUCCAACAACACCGGGAGGCUCCGGAGCCACCGGGAUCGUCCAACAACACCGGGAUCGUUCGAAUCCACCGGGAUCGGGAUCGUCCGGAUCCACCGGGAUUGUCCGGACACACCGGGAUCGUCCGGAUCCACCGGGAUUGUCCGGAUCCAUUGGGAUCGGGAUCGUCCGGAUCCACCGGGAUUGUCCAGACACACCGGGAUCAGGAUCGUCCGGAUCCACCAGGAUCUUCUGAACCCACCGGGAUUGUCCAGAUACACCGGGAUCAUCCAACAACACCAGGAUCUUCUGGAUCCACCGGGAUCGUCCGGAUCCACCGGGAUUGUCCAGAUACACUGGGAGCCUCCGGAUCCACUGGGAUCAUCCGGAUCCACCGGGAUCAUCCAACAACACCGGGAUCAUCCAACAACACUGGGAUCAUCCAACAACACCAGGAUCAUCCAACAACACUGGGACCUUCUGGAUCCCACCGGGAUUGUCUGGAUCCACCGGGAGCCUCCGGACACACCGGGAUCGUCUGGAUCCACUGGGAUUGUCCGGACACACCGGGAUCGUCCGGAUCCACCGGGAUCAUCCAACAACACUGGGAUCUUCUGGAUCCCACCAGGAUUGUCCAGAUCCACCAGGAUCAUCCGGGUCCACCGGGAUCAUCCAGAAACACCGGGAUCUUCCAACAACUCCGGGAGUCUCCGAAUCCACUGGGAUCGCCCGGACACACCAGAAUCAUCCAACAACAUCAGGAUCAUCCAGACACACCGGAAUCAUCCAACAACACCGGGAUCUUCUGGAUCCCACCAGGAUUGUCCGGAUCCCACCAGGAUCUUCCAACACCCCCAGGAGCCUCCAGAUCCACCAGGAUCAUCUGGAUCCACCGGGAUCACCCAACACCACCAGGAUCGUCCAACAACACCGGGACCUUCCAACACCCCUGGGAGCCUCUGGAUCCCACUGGCAUCAUCCGGAUCCAUCGGGAUCGUCCAAAUCCACCAGGAUAACGCAACAACACCGGGAUCAUCCAGGUCAUACCGGGAUCAUCCAAUACCCUCAGGAUCUCCCGGAUCCCACCGGGAUUGUCCGAACCCACUGGGAUCAUCCAAAUCCCACCGGGAUCAUCCAAACACAUCGGGAUCAUCUGAACCCACCGGGAUCAUCCAACAUCCCCAGGACCUUCCAACAUCCCCGGGAUCAUCCAAAUCCCAUCCCACCAGGAUCAUCCAGCACCCCCAGCAUCAUUCAACAGCUCCAGGAUCAUCCAAAUCCCACCGGGAUCUUCCAAAUCCCCAAGGACCCCUCAAACCCACCUGGGAUUGUCCAAAAGCCCCCAGAAUCCCUCAGUCCCCCAGAAUCAUCCAAUUCUCUCCAAUCCUCAGAAUCAUCCAAUGA